AGAGUUUGAUCCUGGCUCAGAUUGAACGCUGGCGGCAUGCUUUACACAUGCAAGUCGAACGGUAACGGAGGAAGCUUGCUUCCUGCCGACGAGUGGCGGACGGGUGAGUAAUGUAUCGGAACGUGCCCUGGAGUGGGGGAUAACCAGUCGAAAGGUUGGCUAAUACCGCAUACGAUCCACGGAUGAAAGGGGGGGACCUUCGGGCCUCCUGCUCCUGGAGCGGCCGAUAUCUGAUUAGCUUGUUGGUAGGGUAACGGCCUACCAAGGCGACGAUCAGUAGCUGGUCUGAGAGGACGACCAGCCACACUGGGACCGAGACACGGCCCAGACUCCUACGGGAGGCAGCAGUGGGGAAUUUUGGACAAUGGGGGCAACCCUGAUCCAGCAAUGCCGCGUGAGUGAAGAAGGCCUUCGGGUUGUAAAGCUUUUUGUCAGGGAAGAAACGGAUUUGGUUAAUACCCGAAUUUAAUGACGGUACCUGAAGAAUAAGCACCGGCUAACUACGUGCCAGCAGCCGCGGUAAUACGUAGGGUGCGAGCGUUAAUCGGAAUUACUGGGCGUAAAGGGUGCGCAGGCGGUUAUGUAAGACAGGUGUGAAAUCCCAGGGCUUAACCUUGGAAUUGCACUUGUGACUGCAUGACUAGAGUGUGUCAGAGGGGGGUAGAAUUCCACAUGUAGCAGUGAAAUGCGUAGAUAUGUGGAAUACCGAUGGCGAAGGCAGCCCCCUGGGAUAACACUGACGCUCAGGCACGAAAGCGUGGGGAGCAAACAGGAUUAGAUACCCUGGUAGUCCACGCCCUAAACGAUGUCUACUAGUUGUUGGGUCUUAAUUGACUUGGUAACGUAGCUAACGCGUGAAGUAGACCGCCUGGGGAGUACGGUCGCAAGAUUAAAACUCAAAGGAAUUGACGGGGACCCGCACAAGCGGUGGAUGAUGUGGAUUAAUUCGAUGCAACGCGAAAAACCUUACCUACCCUUGACAUGUCAGGAACUUUCCAGAGAUGGAUUGGUGCCCGAAAGGGAACCUGAACACAGGUGCUGCAUGGCUGUCGUCAGCUCGUUUCGUGAGAUGUUGGGUUAAGUCCCGCAACGAGCGCAACCCUUGUCAUUAAUCGCCAUCAUUAAGUUGGGCACUUUAAUGAAACUGCCGGUGACAAACCGGAGGAAGGUGGGGACGACGUCAAGUCCUCAUGGCCCUUAUGGGUAGGGCUUCACACGUCAUACAAUGGUACAUACAGAGGGAUGCCAAGCCGCGAGGUGGAGCCAAUCCCAGAAAGUGUAUCGUAGUCCGGGUCGCAGUCUGCAACUCGACUGCGUGAGGUCGGAAUCGCCAGUAAUCGCGGAUCAGCAUGCCGCGGUGAAUACGUUCCCGGGUCUUGUACACACCGCCCGUCACACCAUG
rnacentral:rRNA from 1 species